rnacentral:rRNA from 1 species
CCACGGUNUCCUUCGGGAGCGGCGCACACAGGUGCUGCAUGGCUGUCGGUCAGCUCGUGUCGUGAGAUGUUGGGUUAAGUCCCGCAACGAGCGCAACCACACGUCCUCAGUUGCCAUCAUUCAGUUGGGCACUCUGGGGAGACUGCCGGUGAUAAGCCGCGAGGAAGGUGUGGAUGACGUCAAGUCCUCAUGGCCCUUACGGGAUGGGCUACACACGUGCUACAAUGGCGGUGACAGUGGGACGCGAACCCGCGAGGGCAAGCAAAUCUCCAAAAGCCGUCUCAGUUCGGAUUGCACUCUGCAACUCGAGUGCANGAAGGCGG